AGUGGCGUGGAUGUGAGGAGACACGACAUUUCACCUGAUGUUCCAUGGGUGACCCUACUGGUGAUGUGGACCUGACCCUCCGCCAUGUAGCAGACAACCCCCUCAGGUCCUGCGAUGUAUCUUCCCAAGUGGCGUGGAUGUGAGGAGACACGACAUUUCACCUGAUGUUCCAUGGGUGACCCUACUGGUGAUGUGGACCUGACCCUCCGCCAUGUAGCAGACAACCCCCUCAGGUCCUGCGAUGUAUCUUCCCAAGUGGCGUGGAUGUGAGGAGACACGACAUUUCACCUGAUGUUCCAUGGGUGACCCUACUGGUGAUGUGGACCUGACCCUCCGCCAUGUAGCAGACAACCCCCUCAGGUCCUGCGAUGUAUCUUCCCAAGUGGCGUGGAUGUGAGGAGACACGACAUUUCACCUGAUGUUCCAUGGGUGACCCUACUGGUGAUGUGGACCUGACCCUCCGCCAUGUAGCAGACAACCCCC